rnacentral:siRNA from 1 species
UCUCAGCUUGUCUGGUUGAGUGCA